UCCCAUGCUGUGACCCUCUAGAGGGAAGCACUUUCUGUUGUCUGAAAGAAACCAAAGCGCUUCCCUUUGGAGCGUUACGGUUUGAGA
rnacentral:pre_miRNA from 10 species